AUUAAAUUAGGUUUCCUUGUAAAGCUAGAAAUAUUGUAUAUGAAUAGGCAUAUGUACAAAGUAAUUGAUACAUAAGAAUAUAUAGAUUUUUCUCUCCAUUCUGUUGUUUCAAAUCAAUAGGCAUCAAACAAGUUCCUUCAAAUAAGAUGAAAGCCAUCAAAGAUAUAAGAAAUCAGUAAAUAACAAUGGGCAGGGACAACCAGCCUGCACUAGAGAAUAUCCCUCCAUAAUAACAAUAAGGAACUAAAGAAACUAAAGGCAAAAACAUCAUAUUUUGUGGUAUUUCAAGGUAAUGAUACAGUUAGCCUUCUCCAUAUUGCAAUGAGUUCGAAGCCAUGCUUCCUCAAUCCCUUCACUGAACAAAAAAGAGAGAGAGAGAGAG
rnacentral:misc_RNA from 1 species